rnacentral:rRNA from 1 species
UACGGAGGGGGCUAGCGUUGUUCGAAAUUACUGGGCGUAAAGCGCACGUAGGCGGCUUUGUAAGUUAGAGGUGAAAGCCCAGGGCUCAACCCUGGAAUUGCCUUUAAGACUGCAUCGCUUGAAUUGUGGAGAGGUAAGUGGAAUUCCGAGUGUAGAGGUGAAAUUCGUAGAUAUUCGGAAGAACACCAGUGGCGAAGGCGACUUACUGGACACAUAUUGACGCUGAGGUGCGAAAGCGUGGGGAGCAAACAGG